rfam:Rattus norvegicus chromosome 7, whole genome shotgun sequence.
UAGCUCAGUGGUAGAGCGCUUGCCUAGCAAGCACAAGGCCCUGGGUUCAGUCCCCAG